rnacentral:rRNA from 1 species
GGAAUUUUGGACAAUGGGCGAAAGCCUGAUCCAGCCAUGCCGCGUGAGUGAAGAAGGCCUUCGGGUUGUAAAGCUCUUUCGGCCGGGACGAAAUUGCCUUUGCGAAUAACAAAGGUAGAUGACGGUACCGGAAGAAGAAGCACCGGCUAACUACGUGCCAGCAGCCGCGGUAAUACGUAGGGUGCGAGCGUUAAUCGGAAUUACUGGGCGUAAAGCGUGCGCAGGCGGUUUUGUAAGCCAGAUGUGAAAUCCCCGGGCUUAACCUGGGAACUGCAUUUGGGACUGCAAGGCUGGAGUAUGGCAGAGGGAGGUGGAAUUCCACGUGUAGCAGUGAAAUGCGUAGAGAUGUGGAGGAACACCAAUGGCGAAGGCAGCCUCCUGGGCCAAUACUGACGCUCAUGCACGAAAGCGUGGGGAGCA